AUUGAACGCUGGCGGCAUGCCUUACACAUGCAAGUCGAACGGCAGCACGGGUGCUUGCCCCUGGUGGCGAGUGGCGAACGGGUGAGUAAUACAUCGGAACAUGUCCUGUAGUGGGGGAUAGCCCGGCGAAAGCCGGAUUAAUACCGCAUACGAUCUACGGAUGAAAGCGGGGGACCUUCGGGCCUCGCGCUAUAGGGUUGGCCGAUGGCUGAUUAGCUAGUUGGUGGGGUAAAGGCCUACCAAGGCGACGAUCAGUAGCUGGUCUGAGAGGACGACCAGCCACACUGGGACUGAGACACGGCCCAGACUCCUACGGGAGGCAGCAGUGGGGAAUUUUGGACAAUGGGCGAAAGCCUGAUCCAGCAAUGCCGCGUGUGUGAAGAAGGCCUUCGGGUUGCAAAGCACUUUUGUCCGGAAAGAAAUCCUUGGCCCUAAUACGGUCGGGGGAUGACGGUACCGGAAGAAUAAGCACCGGCUAACUACGUG
rnacentral:rRNA from 1 species